ACGCUCGACACCUACUGGAGGCAGCAGUGGGGAAUAUUGCACAAUGGGGGGAACCCUGAUGCAGCGACGCCGCGUGAGUGAAGAAGUACUUCGGUAUGUAAAGCUCUAUCAGCAGGGAAGAAAAUGACGGUACCUGACUAAGAAGCCCCGGCUAACUACGUACCAGCAGCCGCGGUAAUCUGAGCGGGCGUGGCAAGGC
rnacentral:rRNA from 1 species